UACGUAGGGGGCAAGCGUUGUCCGGAUUUACUGGGCGUAAAGCGCGUGUAGGCGGCCCUGCAAGUCGGGUGUGAAAUCCCACGGCUCAACCGUGGAAGUGCACUCGAAACUGCAGGGCUAGAGUCCUGGAGAGGAAGGUGGAAUGCUUGGUGUAGAGGUGAAAUUCGUAGAUAUCAAGCGGAACACCGGUGGCGAAAGCGGCCUUCUGGACAGUGACUGACGCUGAGACGCGAAAGCGUGGGGAGCAAACGGG
rnacentral:rRNA from 1 species